AGGUGCCAUUAUGGCCACUGCCACGUACUAGAAAGAACCUUGGGUGUGGAGACCUGGAGCUGAUCUGUGUGACUUCAGACUGUCUCUCCUCCUUUUCUGAGCCUGUUUCCCCUUGUAUGAGGCAAGGGAGCCUAUUGCGCAAAACAGGCCAUAGUCACACUGCUCAGAGUGAAGCAGGUGGGGGCCUGGGGCUCACCCUUCCCUUGGUUUUCACAGAAGCCAUCGAGAUGCCUCCAAGGACCCCAAGGCUCUGAGGGACUCAGGAUCCUCAAAGUGCCCCCCCGCCCCGCCUUGUUCAUAUUGCCUCCCUGCCAGCUCGCAUCCCCUCAAAGACAAAGCCAGGUGGAUGCUUCUCUCUGGCCAGUGGCAGUCUGCUUCCUGAGCUACUGUCCCCUCUCCCAAACAGGGUAAGCCUCCCCAUUGCCACUCCCACAGCUCUGCCUGAGGCAUGGAGCACCAGGUUCUCAGCUCAUGUGCGAUUCUUCCCGCUUCAGGCCUCAGUGUCUCUGUGCGCAUGGACCUGUCAGACUCAGGGGACUGCAGAGGCCUGUCCAGCUGUGACAGCAAGACCACAGACAGUCCGGAGAUGGACUGGCAGGGUCUGGGCUUACAGUGCCUGGCUCGGGGCCAGUGCCUACAGGGAAGUCCCGCCUGUCCCCUGGGCAGGUGGAGCGGGCUGCACAGAGCCUUUCCCACAUUCCUGGCCAGCCCGGCCUCCUUAUAUAGCUGUUUCCAGGCUGGGUCCGUGCUCUGUGCCCCAAGGGAGCAGACCUUCUGUGGCGACCAGGCCUGGGCCUGCUCGCUGGGUUCCUGGGGAGGCUCUUUCCCCAGAUUGCUGAACGGGUAUGUCUUCCCGAGUAAUCCCAAUCACAUCCAUAGUCAAAGGGAGAGCUGUAUAGAUGCGCCAGAGGUGAGGCUUCUGGCUAAGUCAUGCUAAGGAAGGGGAAUAUUUACUUGUAGCCACAGACCCAGCUUCCUUCCCUUGGGGCAGGUGCUACUGGCGUUGACCGAGGCAGGGCUAAUGGAAGAGCCCCCUUCCCGGCCCUUGCAAGCCUGUCACUGCGCCAGGGUCCCAAGUAGGCCCUGAAGAUGGUACCCUUCCCCAGUUCCCACCCCUGGGAUAGUGUCACUGAGUCCUCCUUCCCCGACCAAGGAUCUGGCACCUGGCCACUUUUCUGAAGCCUCUUUAUCCCAUCUGUGGCCCCAGACUCAGGAGCCAAGCUUUCCCAGAGCCACAGGGACAUAAGCACCAGCUGCGUCCAGAUCCCCUAGUAUUUAUUCGCUUUAUUGCUACUUGUUAUGAAAGCAGUCUUUCAACUUUAUUAAAGGAAAAUUGAAAAAACAUCAUCUGUAAUCCUACCCCAGGCCCUCCAGCCACCUCCUGUGGUCUGAGCCCACGACACCGGCACUGCCUUGGCGUGCUGACAGAUCGGCGUUCUGCCGUUUCUCACUCCAGGCAUGACCCACGGGCUCCCUUGACACGGCUGACCUCCGUGUAGGCCACCUGAACAUCGUCCCCCUCAGGAGCUCUGUGCUCUCUCUGUUCCAUGCUUCCCUCAGGAGGUUCCCCAGAGCGGGACUUCUGGGCCACCACGUGUGGGCGUCUUUAUGGCCCUCGGUUUGUAUUGCCAAGUGCAGAUCUUGUUUCAGAGGCCUUGCUGGAGUUGCACCAAGAGUCCUGGCUAGAAUAAUGGGGCCCAAACAGCAUCCUGAGGCCCCAGCAGAGAGAAGGGGGGCUCCUUGACCUAGCCUCUCUCAUCCCAGAAAUAAGGUGUAUCCAUCCUGCCUUGGCCCCAGCAGAUCUUGCCCCACUCAGGCACCCCAAGGGCUGCUUGGUGCAUUUGGGGUCCCACUGCCCAGUCACACUGACCUGACUUCCAGGCCCCUGCCUCCUGCAAACCACCCUCUGGCCCUCCUCUUUCCGACCACGCCUGUGCUUCUCCCAGGCUGGGCUUAUGGAGAGCAGGCCAGUUCACUGCUCUGUCCUCCAGUCCUAGGGAGCCUGUCGGCGAGAUGAGCCGUGCAAGGGGUGGUGGUGGUUUGGUCGGAUUCUGGACCAUUCAGAAGGGGCGCCAGCACCUAACUCCCACCUGAGCCUGCUCCUGCUCAGUACACGUUCCCAUCCCCAGCCAAGGUCCACAGGACAUUCGCAGUUUGCCUGCUUAUCUGAGGCCACGGCGGUGUUUGGCUUGCAGAUCCCAAUUUCCCAGAACCUGCCCCCACAGGGGCGGGGCAGCGAGCAAGUUACAAAUUCAUUCCGCUCUUCCUCGCAAGUUCAGAAGCGGCCUGCCAGGCACCAGAGCCAAAAUGAAGACCCCAGCCCCUGGCCGCGCCUGCGGCGUCGUGCUGGUCCUGCUCUCGCUGGCCACCCUCCAGACCCUCAGGGCCCAAAAGAACGACAUCGACAUCUACAGCCUCACUGUAGACUCCAGGGUCUCAUCCCGAUUUGCCCACACAGUCGUCACCAGCCGGGUGGUCAACAAGGCCAGUACUUUGCAGGAGGUCACCUUCCAGAUGGAGCUGCCCAAGAAGGCCUUUAUCACCAACUUCUCCAUGAUCAUUGAUGGUGUGACCUACCCCGGUAACAUCAAGGAGAAGGCUGCAGCCCAGGAGCAGUACAGCGCGGCUGUGGAGAGGGGAGAGAGCGCCGGCCUCGUCAAGGCCACUGGGAGAAAGACAGAGCAGUUCCAGGUGUCAGUCAGUGUGGCGCCCGCUGCCAAGAUCACCUUCGAGCUGGUGUAUGAGGAGCUCCUGGUGCGGCAUCUGGGAGCGUACGAGCUGCUGCUGAAAGUCCAGCCCCAGCAGCUGGUCAAGCACCUGCAGAUGGACAUUUACAUCUUUGAGCCUCAGGGCAUCAGCUUUCUGGAGACAGAGAGCACCUUCAUGACCAAUGAACUGGCAGAGGCCCUCACCACCACACAGAACAAGACCAAGGCUCAUGUCCGAUUCAGGCCGACGCUGUCCCAGCAGCAAAAGUCUCCAGAGCAGCAGCAGGACACAGUCCUGGAUGGCAACUUCAUCGUCCGCUAUGAUGUGGACCGGACUGUCUCCGGGGGUUCCAUUCAGAUCGAGAAUGGCUACUUUGUGCACUACUUUGCCCCUGAGCACCUGGCCACGAUACCCAAGAACGUGAUCUUUGUCAUUGACAAGAGCGGCUCCAUGAGCGGCAGGAAAAUCCAGCAGACCCGGGAAGCCCUCAUCAAGAUCCUGGGUGACCUCGGUCCCCGUGACCAGUUCAACCUCAUCAGCUUCAGUGGGGAAGCAACCCCAUGGAAGCCACAGCUAGUGGCAGCCUCGGCUGAGAACGUGAAUGAGGCCAAGAGCUACGCCACUGCCAUCCAGGCCCAGGGAGGGACCAAUAUAAACGAUGCGAUACUGAUGGCCGUGCAGCUGCUAGAGAGAGCCAACCGGGAGGAGCUGCUGCCCCCAGGAAGCGUCACCCUCAUCAUCCUCCUCACCGACGGCGACCCCACUGUGGGGGAAACCAACCCCUCAGAGAUCCAGAAGAACGUUCAGGAAGCCAUAGACGGCCAGCACAGCCUCUUCUGCCUGGGCUUCGGCUUCGACGUCAGCUACGCCUUCCUGGAGAAGCUGGCACUGGACAACGGUGGCCUGGCCCGGCGCAUCUAUGAGGACUCGGACUCCGCACUGCAGCUCCAGGACUUCUACCAAGAGGUGGCCAACCCACUGAUGACAUCGGUGGCCUUCGAGUACCCAAGCAACACCGUGGAGGCGGUCACACAGGACGCCUUCCGGCUGUUCUUCAAGGGCUCCGAGUUGGUGGUGGCCGGGAAGCUCCGGGACCAGAGCCCUGAUGUGUUCUCAGCCAAAGUCAGGGGGCAGCUGCACAUGGGGAACAUCACCUUUGUAACGGAGUCCCGCGUGGCAGAGCAGGAGAAGGCGUUCUGGAGCCCCAGAUACAUCUUCCACAGCUUCAUGGAGAGACUGUGGGCGUACCUGACCAUCCAGCAACUGCUGGAGCAAACAGUCUCCACGCCAGAUGCUGAGAAGCAGGCUCUUGAGGCCCGAGCUCUGAACUUGUCGCUCAGCUACAGUUUUGUCACCCCGCUCACGUCCAUGGUGAUCACCAAACCCGAAGGUCAAGAGCAGUCUCAGGUUGCUGAGAAACCCGUGGAAAAUGAAAACAGACACAGGAAUGUCCACUCAGGUCACACUCUCUUCAGAUAUCAUUCCGUGGGAGGCAAAGCGUCCAGAGUAUCAGGAGGCAGCAGUGCAGACCCUGUCUUUUCUAAAAGAAGAGGCUGGAGAGGACAAGGACCACCUGGACCUCUUCAUCCUCCUCGUCUUCCUCAUCCACCCCACCGUACACCCUGGAGACCAACGCCACCAGACGUGAUGCCACGGCUAUCAGCUACCUCAUUUCUUGAUGAACAUGACAUGGACUUAAGAAUCAAAGAAACAACCGCGGCAUCCCCACACCACGCCCCCAUCCAGCCUCCUUCUGUCAUCCUGCCGCUGCCUGGGCGGAGCGUGGACCGGCUCUGUGUGGACCUCAAGCGCUCUCAGGGACCGACAAACCUGCUCUCAGACCCUGGCCAAGGGAUUGAGGUGACUGGCCACUAUGAGACAGAGAAGGGCCACUUCUCGUGGAUUGAGGUGACCUUCGAGAAACCCCAGCUGCAGGUUCGUGCAUCCCCUGAGCACGUGGUAGUGACUCGGAACCGAAGAAGCUCUGCAUACAAGUGGAAGAAAACUCUGUACUCGGUGAUGCCAGGUCUCAAGAUGACCAUGGACAAGGCGGGGCUUCUGCUGCUCAGCAGCCCUGACAGAGUGACCAUCGGCCUGCUGUCCUGGGACGGCCCUGGGGCGGGGCUCCGGCUCCUUCUGCGGGACACUGACCGCUUCUCCAGCCACAUCAGUGGGACCCUUGGCCAGUUUUACCAGGACGUGCUCUGGGAGCCCCUGGCAGCAGCAGAUGACAGCAAGCGAACACUGAAGGUCCAGGGGCAUGACCACUCUGCCACCAGAGACCUCAAGCUGGACUACCAAGAGGGGCCCCCGGGAACAGAGAUUUCCUGCUGGUCUGUGGAGCUGUAGUUCUGAUGCAAGGAGUUAUGCCCACCCGCCGUGCCGCCUGCUGGGUGCAGAUGGCUGCCACCCUGCGACCACAGGGCCACCUGUGGGUCCUGUAACAUCAUGGGGAGAGCCGCAUCGGUGGAGAGGCCCAGGAAGUUGCCUUCCUAGCAGCCAGCCCUUCCUUCGAGCUGCCUGUCCCCUGGAGCAGGGGCUCAUGGAAGCAUGCAGACACUGGUAGCCGUCCGGUUUCUCCU